GGCCGACUAGCUCAGUUGGUUAGAGCGUCGUGCUAAUACAUUCCAUGUUAAGACGCGAAGGUCUUGGGUUCGAUCCCCACGUUGGCCA